ensembl:lncRNA
AUCAAUUUGUAAGUUAAAAAAUAAAUAAUUCUAUACUAUGUCUACUACUUUUGUUAUUAAGAAUCAUAUUAUCUUAUGAUGGUUUUUGAGAAUGAGUGCAUAUAAUCUUACCGCAUUCUGCAACAGUGGUUUUGAUUGUUGUCACCAAAGUAGUGUCUCUGAAAGUUAGUCCCUGUGAGGGAGUUGAGGGAGUGGAUACUGCUACAAAUGUUGAGGUUCUUGUUAUUACUGUAGUAGUACCACUUGUUAAUGGCAUUAUUGGUCUUAGAGUAGUGACAUCACUUGUGACUGUCGAUGUAGCAGUGGGAGUUGUGGCAUCACUUGAAGUGACUGUAGACGUAGUUGAAGUAGUGGUGGCAUCGCUUGAAGUGACUGUGGAUGUAGUUGAGGGAGUGGUGGCAUCACUUGAAGUGACUGUAGACGUAGUUGAAGUAGUGGUGGCAUCACUUGAAGUGACUGUGGAUGUAGGUGAAGUAGUGGUGGCAUCACUUGAAGUGACUGUGGAUGUAGUUGAAGGAGUGGUGGCAUCACUUGAAGUGACUGUUGAUGUAGUUGAAGGAGUGGUGGCAUCACUUGAAGUGACUGUUGAUGUAGUUGAGGGAUUGGUGGCAUCACUUGAAGUGACUGUUGAUGUAGUUGAGGGAGUGGUGGUAUCACUUGUAGUGACUGUUGAUGUCAUUGAGGGAAUGGUGGCAUCACUUGAAGUGACUAUUAAUAUAGUUGAGGUGGUGGUGGCAUCACUUGAAGUGACUGUUGAUGUAGUUGAGGGAGUGGUGGCAUCACUUGAAGUGACUGUUGAUGUAGUUGAGGGAGUGGUGGAAUCACUUGAAGUGACUGUUGAUGUAGUUGAGGGAGUGGUGGCAUCACUUGAAGUGACUAUUAAUAUAGUUGAGGUGGUGGUGGAAUCACUUGAAGUGACUGUUGAUGCAGUUGAGGGAGUGGUGGCAUCACUUGAAGUGACUGUUGAUGUAGUUGAGGGAGUGGUGGAAUCACUUGAAGUGACUGUUGAUGUAGUUGAGUGAGUGGUGGCAUCACUUGAAGUGACUGUUGAUGUAGUGGUGGUGGUG